ensembl:lncRNA LOC108350428 uncharacterized LOC108350428
GAGGUUUCUGUCAACAGUGAGAGGAAUAGUGAAGAAAUGCCUUUCUCCAUUUUGCUCUAAUUCUCCCUUGGUCCCGGCACUACGAUUGUUGCAUCCCUCCACAUCUCCUAAGUGACCCUCUGCUCCCACUCCAUCCACAAAAACUAGCAGCACCCUGUGGACACCGCAGACCCUGCCUUAUGACUUAGAGCACACGGAAGACUAGAUGACGUCCUUUGGGGAGUGCGCAUUCUGAGAAAACUUACAUGAAGCAUCUAUAACCGCGCCCAGCUUAAGAUAAGGCACACCUCGUUUCACCUCUUUGUGCUUCUGCACAGAAAAUCAGACCUUCUGUUGCAAGAUGGCCCUAAGGAUUUGACAUUGAUCACCAUCAUAGAAUUGGAACUUACAAAUAUUUUUCUCUUGGUAACACUCUGCAGAUGGUUAAGAGCCAGCACGUGGUUGCUGGGGAUUGAACUCAGGACACUGUAGCUAACCAUUGUCGGUAACUCCAGUUCCCGGAACUCCAGCACUGUCUCUGCCCUCCAUGGGCAGCCCACAUGCGAGUGAUGCACACAUACAUACAAGUAAAGCACCCGCAUAGACAGCAAAACUUUGAAGAAAGAUAAUUUGUUUCCAGCAAAUCUGGACUAUAAGAAUGUCUGACAAACAACUUAAAUCAAGAAAGAGAGUUUGUUCACCUCCUGACAGACAAGAGAUGGGGAGGUGCAGAAGAAAGAGAGAAGAACAGAGAGGAAGAGAGGGGAGGGAAAAAGGAGAGGAAAGCAGUCUGGGGCAAGAAAGAUCCAAGGACCCACUGUAGUGACUUACUUCCUUCAGCUGCAAAGUGGCUAUAAGUUUCAAGUGGUCCCUGAAAGAACACCUCAGCUGGACUCAACCCCUCAAAUCACAAGCCUUUUGGAAGACCAGUUCACAUCCAAACUGAACAGUACAUUUCCUAGAACACCAAAGUCUCAUGUGCGUCUCACAAGGUAAUAUUUGGUAUACCAAGGGUUCCCAAAGCCUUAUCAGUUCAAACAUUGUUGACAAUUUAGGUUCAAUUAAGAUCUGAGACUCAAGGCAAAUUUUUACUCUUAGGCUCUAUAAAAUAAAACAAGCGGUGAAUGUCAUGUUUGGUUGUUGCCUCUCAGAAGUCUGCUCUUUUCUGAAAGGAAAAAAAGGGGAGAGGAUCUGAGGG